rnacentral:lncRNA from 1 species
CAGCUCUCUGUUAAAUGGACCAAUCAGCAGGAUGUGGGCAGCGCCAAAUAAGGGAAUAAAAGCUGGCCAUCUGAGCCAGCAGCGGCAACCCGCUUGGGUCCCCUUCCAUGCUGUGGAAGCUUUGUUCUUUCCCUCUUCACAAUAAAUCUUGCUGUUGCUCACUCUUUAGGUCCACACUACCUUUAUGAGAUGUAACACUCACUGAGAAGGUCUGCAGCUUCAUUCCUGAAGUCAGCAAGACCACAAACCCACCAGGAGAAACAAACAACUCUGGAUGUGCCAUAUUUAAAAGCUGUAACACUCACUGUGAAGGUCUGCAGCUUCACUCCUGAAGUCAGUGAGACCACGAACCCACUGGAAGGAAGAAACUCCAGACACAUCUGAACAUCUGAAGGAACAAACACCGGACACACCAUCUUUAAGAACUGUAACACUCAUUGCGAGGGUCCGCGCCUUCAUUCUUGAAGUCAGUGAAACCAAGAACCCACUGGAAGUAACCAAUUCCGGAAAUAUUUUGGCAACCAUGAAGGGACCAUCACCAAGUGGAUCGAGGCCAUCGAGCUACAGAUGGUCUUACAAAUGGAACCCCAAAUGACCUCAACUCACAACUUCUACCGAGGACUCCUGAACUGACCCACUGGCCUGUUCACUGGCCUAAACAGUUCCCCUCUGGAGGACACUACAACUGCAGGGCCCCUUCUUCACCCCUAUCCAGGAGGAAGUAGCUAGAGUUGUCAUUGCCCAAUUCCCAACAGCAGUUGGGGUAUCCUGUUUAGAGGACAAAUUGAGAGGUAAAGCCAGCUGGACUUCCUGGGUCAAGUGGGGACUUGGAGAACUUUUUUGUCUAGCUAGAGGAUUGUAAAUGCACCAAUCAGCACUCUGUAAAAAUGCACCAAUCUGCGCUCUGUGUCUAGCUAAAGGAUUGUAAAUGCACCAAUCAGCACUCUGUAAAAAUGCACCAAUCAGCACUGUGUCUAGCUAAAGGAUGGUAAAUGCACGAAUCAGCACUCUGUAAAAAUGCACCAAUCAGCACUCUGUGUCUAGGAUUGUAAAUGCACCAAUCAGCACUCUGUAAAAUGACCCAAUCAGCUCUCUGUAAAAUGGACCAAUCAGCAGGAAGUGGGCAGCGCCAAAUAAGGGAAUAAAAGCUGGCUACCCUAGCCAGCAGCAGCAACCUGCUCAGAUCCCCCUCCAUGCUGUGGAAGCUUUGUUCUUUUGCUCUUCACAAUAAAUCUUGCUGCUGCUCACUCUUUGGAUCCACACUGCCUUUAUGAGAUGUAACACUCACUGCGAAAGUCUGCGGCUUCACUCCUGAAGUCAGUGAGACCACAAACCCACUGGGAGAAACAAAUGGCUCUGGACAUGCCACCUUUAAGAGCUGUAACACUCACUGUGAAGGUCUGCGGCUUCACUCCUGAAGUCAGCGAGACCACGAACCCACUGGAAGGAAGAAACUCCAAACACAUCUGAAGGAACAAACUCCGGACAUACCAUCUUUAAGAACUGUAACACUCACCGCGAGGGUCCGUGGCUUCAUUCUUGAAGUCAGUGAGACCAAGAAUCCACCAGAAGGAACCAAUUCUGGAUACAAUAUCAUGUUAACAGUAGACUUUCCUGGAUUUCAGAAAAAUCUCAUUCUUUUUACCCUCAGCUGCCUUGGAUGGACAUGGGCAGCCCAGAGACUUAAGUGGGUGCUUGUAUGUAAUAUUCUGAUUUGAAACACAAGCGGGCCCAUAUGGUAUAUCUAGUAAUGCUUAGAAAGUCCUAAACUACUUGUUUAGUUUAUGCCCUACACUUGGAGAAAACAUGUGGCAAGACAAAUAUAUUCUGUUAUCUUUUUCUAUUUUGCCUUGAUUUUAAUCUCUUUAUCCUGAUAUCUUGUGAACUGAGCAUACUUCUGUUAUGUCCUAUAUUACAAAUAGGCAAAAACAAUAUAUAUAUACACAUAUAUAAUGUAUUAUGUAUUUAUGUAUAGUAUAUGCACAUAUGCAUACAUGUAUAACAUAUGUGUAUAUGUAUGUAUAUAUGUAUGAAUAUAUGAGAGAUAAUAUAUGUAGAGAGAUUAUCUUAUAAUAAAUGCCUAGAUUCAAUAAAAUGUCCUUAACAUGACAAUUUGAUCUGACAAAAAUACUUUGAAUCUCCUAUCUAUUAAGACUUAUUAAAUCUUCUGGUUAUAAAUGUUGUUUAAAAAUGUUCUGUGGUAAGAGAUACAAGGCUUAUGGAAAACAAUUCUUGAAAAAAGAAUGUAUGGCUGAUGAUAUGCAUAAACUAAAGCUGAUGCUACAGGCAACCUGAAUCACUGAUUGCAAAUAAAGUAUUGAUCAGAAAGAAAUCUGAAGGACUUCUCAAGAAAAAAAAUGGAUGGCAGAGAAAACUGUCGUAAUUGCAGGGGAAGUGGUGUUGAGGCUCAUUUAUGUGAUUUUCCUACUCCCUCUGUGUCAUUCUAGGCUAUAGGAGAGAAGACACAGAGCUCUCAUGAAGAACAGAGCUGAGACCCAGGGAUUUAAAAGACAAGUGAAAUCUGUUCCUCUAAUUCAAAAGGAAGUUGGAUCUUUAGUACUAAACAACUAGAGACACAAUCAGGACUCAGGAUUCUGACCUUCAACCACUCUUCUCUGGAAAAUUUCCAAGGAAUUAGAGCCUAAGUACCCCUGUGCCUGCAAUAGAAGUUGGGCAAGCCACGUACUCAGCCUUCUCAGAGCAGUCCAUGAUCUCUUUAACUGAAAUCAUGGAAAAGAGAGGACUUAAAAGGAAAUAUCAUCCCUAAAGAGAUAGACUAUCUCAGCAUCUGGACCCCAAAAAAUCCCCUUAACUUUCGUCCAUUAAUAGCAUCUCUUCUUCACUAUGAGAUAGGGUGGGUAACUGUGGGUAGGAGGGAGCAGAGGGAACACUUGGAUGUCCCUGAGCCUUGCACCAUAGCUCAAAGCUCCAAACAGGGCAUGAGAUCAAUAAUAAUUGGGAUGAAGGAAAAGAAGUCUCUGGAUCUCUGGCAAGGAAGGAAAACCCCCAGAGUGGCUGCUGUGCCAAAAAGGCUCCAAAGUGAUGUGACAGUGCAGUGGAGCCAUGCCAAGAUGGGAUUUGGAGUUCAUAACAAAGGAGGAGGUAAUUUUAAUCAAGGUACGAGGAUAAGAUGAGAAUUAGAUUAGCAUAAUUUGUGAGAAAUGUUCUAUAAUAGCUAGUAAUUUCUGAUUAGGUGCAUCGUCAAUGAAUUAGAAGUUGAUAGUAUAAGGUUUCUACAUAAAAGUAGCAAUAAAUAUAUGCUUACUUUCAUGUAAGGCAAAAUUAUCAAGGUGUAAGUAGUAUUGUUUUCAAUGUUUCUGGCACAUGGUAGUUCAACAAAAUAUGUUGAAUUAAUUAUUGAAUAAGUUAUUGUCCACAUUUUUUAACUUCAUGGCCUUAUCUUGCAUACUGCCAUUUAGUGGCAGCAUCUCUAAUUGUAAGCAAAGUACCAAUUGAAAAGAAAUUCAAUUAUGAAGUACUAGUACAUACUAUUGGGAAGGGGUUUGUGUGUUUGUUUUGUUUUGUUUUUAUUUGUGUAAGUUUUUAAACCAAGGAGUACACUAACAAUAGAUUGUAUACAUGUUUUUAUUGUUAUCUUAGAUGAUUCAGGGGAGCCAAAAAAUUCUCAGAAGUCUUAUCUUUUUUUUACCUGGAAUUUAUCUUAGCCUUUCCAGAAUUUUCAGAGUUAGACUGUGAAACAGUAGAACUCUUCUAAUGUUUCUAAUGUCUCUUGACUCAUAAGUCACAGGGGAACUGAUGAGUUAACAUUCUAAACAUUUCAAAAGAGUUUAAGGAAAUGUUCAUUCUCCAGAAGCAGGAGAUGAAUGCAAAGGUCCAGAGGGCUUUGUGAGCCACCUCCUCACCGACAAUGAUGGACUCUGUUUCUACCUAGGAAGAGAACAUAGGGGGCUGACACAGCCGUUCUAUUUUUUACUGUAAUGAAUGCUAUUUUCAUUUACUUUAGAGAGCAGUCCCCAAGAAGACUAGUGACAAGAUGAAGGUUCACUGGCU